ACCGGAGGAGCGGGGCCGGGAGCUGCGAGGAGCCCCCCAGACGUCGCCGAGCGCGAGGGUGGGCGUGCUCGGAGGGUCGCUCGUCAGCCGCCGCCCCUCAGUCUCCGCACUUGCAGGUCCCCUCCCUCUCCGCCGGGACGCGGUAGAGCCCGGCUCGCGGCGGGGGCGGCCAAUGCGAAACUGGCUGGUGCUGCUGUGCCCGUGUGUGCUCGGGGCCGCGCUGCACCUCUGGCUGCGGCUGCGCUCCCCGCCGCCCGCCCGCGCCUCCGGGGCCGGCCCUGCAGAUCAGUUGGCCUUAUUUCCUCAGUGGAAAUCUACUCACUAUGAUGUGGUAGUUGGCGUGUUGUCAGCUCGCAAUAACCAUGAACUUCGAAACGUGAUAAGAAGCAGCUGGAUGAGACAUUUGCUACAGCAUCCCACAUUAAGUCAACGUUUUGAAUCAGGAAAUUGAAGCGUUCAGUCUGUCCGAAGACACUUCAUCGGGGCUGCCUGAGGAUCGAGUUGUCAGCGUGAGUUUCCGAGUUCUCUACCCCAUCGUUAUUACCAGUCUUGGAGUGUUCUACGAUGCCAAUGAUGUGGGUUUCCAGAGGAACAUCACUGUCAAACUUUAUCAGGCAGAACAAGAGGAGGCCCUCUUCAUUGCUCGCUUCAGUCCUCCAAGCUGUGGUGUGCAGGUGAACAAGCUGUGGUACAAGCCCGUGGAACAGUUCAUCUUACCAGAGGUACAGGAUGGCAGGAAAAGACUGUAGUACCAAUGCAGUCAUUCAUAGGAGUGGGCGUGUGCUUUCAGGGGCAGGCACUUGAUAUUUUCUUGUACCAGGGCAGCACUCCAGAGUGAUAGAUGAAGGUACCAACUGUGGACGGGCUAAAACAUAGCACUCUGUAUUCAAACCUCCUGAGGACUUCAUGAGGCCUCAGAGGUUCCAAAACCACUUUUUGAAAAACAUUGCACGUUUCCGUAGUUUAUUUAGUGGAGUAGAGAACUACACAACUGUUUUAAUGACAAAGGAUGGUGUUGGGUGUGGAUUGAUGGAAAGACCAGACAGAGAUACCGUUUGGGUAAAAAUUAAAUAAUUUGCUUAUCUAAAGAAUGAAAAGAAAAAAAAGUCAGUGCAGACAGGUUAAUGAUAGAGAUGGGCCAUGUUUCCAAGUUAAAUAAAAUUUCUCCAAAGGGUGAACAGUUGUGGAUGAUAGCCUGAAAAUGUACCUGUCACCUUCUGGGUCCCUCUAGGUCCAGUCAUAACUAGAUAUGCACUAAAGAAUGCCUCGCCUGCCAGGUGCCCUCAUUAGUCCUGGAGUUAAGCCACACAGUAUGGUCGCAGAGUGUGACAGAAUCAGGAUCAGACAUAACAAAUUAUUCAUUCAUCAGCUUCAGCCUUUCUAGGCUGUUUUAGUCUAGGCCGAGUACAUUCCUGAACUCAGUGCUCUGGAACCACAAUCGGGGUCAGUUUCCUAGACAUCUCUGGGAUUCACUUUAGAUCACCUAUAGAGUUCAUCCCGCAGCAUCUCAGCUGGGUUAAGGUGUGGAGGCUAGACAACUGACCGGCCCUGGUGACUAACCAAGAAACUUUUUCCUACCCAGUCUGUGGUGUGCCAUUCACAAUUUGUUCAGCAAUAGGAACCACACAUUUUUGUAACAUACUAUGGGUCUUUGGAAUUGAGUACAAGUAGUUGAAACUAUAUGUUAAUUCUGUCAGUGUCAAAGGGAUCUCCUUUUCAUUUGUAUCUGAACUUCCAUUUUAAAAACUUCUGAAUACGCUACUCUCAGCAUACUGCUUGUAGGAUAGCCUGCUCCGCAAAAGCAGUCAAAAAAUAAAUUAAAAAAAACAAAACGACUUUUAAAUAAAAGCCAAACUAAAACAGAGGGGUG
rnacentral:sRNA from 1 species